rnacentral:pre_miRNA from 1 species
AGAGUGUAGUGCAGCCAAGGAUGACUUGCCGGCGAAGGCAUAUGCUUAUUCCACAGCCGGCAAGUUGUCCUUGGCUAUAUUGGACUUUCU